AAUGAACGCUGGCGGCAUGCCUAAUACAUGCAAGUCGAACGAGUGGCGGACGGGAGAGUAAUGUCUGGGAACCUGCCUGAUGGAGGGGGAUAACUACUGGAAACGGUAGCUAAUACCGCAUACCUACCACUGCGCCCAGUUGGGAUUAGCUUGUUGGUGGGGUAACGGCUUACCAAGGCGACGAUCCCUAGCUGGUCUGAGAGGAUGACCGGCCACACUGGAACUGAGACACGGUCCAGACUCCUACGGGAGGCAGCAGUGGGGAAUAUUGCACAAUGGGCGCAAGCCUGAUGCAGCCAUGCCGCGUGUAUGAAGAAGGCCUUCGGGUUGUAAAGCACUUUCAGCAGGGAGGCGUUACCCGCAGAAGAAGCAACGGCUAACUCCGUGCCAGCAGCCGCGGUAAUUC
rnacentral:rRNA from 1 species